UGAACGCUGGCGGCGUGCCUAACACAUGCACGUCGAACGGAGUCCAGCCUUUAAGACCUUCGGGUCAAAGAGGGGAAGACUGAGUGGCGGACGGGUGAGUAACACGUGGGCAACCUGGCUCAUAGAGGGGGAUAACAGAGAGAAAUUUCUGCUAAUACCGCAUAAGCACACACUGCCGCAUGGCAGAGGGUGAAAAGAGAAUCGCUAUGAGAUGGACCCGCGUCUGAUUAGCCAGUUGGCAGGGUAAGAGCCUACCAAAGCGACGAUCAGUAGCCGAUCUGAGAGGAUGAACGGCCACAUUGGGACUGAGGCACGGCCCAAACUCCUACGGGAAGCAGCAGUGGGGGAUAUUGCACAAUGGGGGGAACCCUGAUGCAGCGACGCCGCGUGAGUGAAGAAGUAUUUCGGUAUGUAAAGCUCUAUCAGCAGGGAAGAUAAUGACAGUACCUGAAUAAGAAGCCCCGGCUAACUACGUG
rnacentral:rRNA from 1 species